UGCCAGACUCCUACGGGAGGCAGCAGUGGGGAAUAUUGCACAAUGGGGGAAACCCUGAUGCAGCGACGCCGCGUGAGUGAAGAAGUAUUUCGGUAUGUAAAGCUCUAUCAGCAGGGAAGAUAAUGACGGUACCUGAGUAAGAAGCCCCGGCUAACUACGUGCCAGCAGCCGCGGUAAUACGUAGGGGGCAAGCGUUAUCCGGAUUUACUGGGUGUAAAGGGAGCGUAGACGGCUGUGCAAGCCAGAUGUGAAAGCCCGGGGCUCAACCCCGGGACUGCAUUUGGAACUGUGUGGCUGGAGUGUCGGAGAGGCAGGCGGAAUUCCUAGUGUAGUGGUGAAAUGCGUAGAUAUUAGGAGGAACACCAGUGGCGAAGGCGGCCUGCUGGACGAUGACUGACGUUGAGGCUCGAAAGCGUGGGGAGCAAACAGGAUUAGAUACCCGCGUA
rnacentral:rRNA from 1 species